CUUGUGCAGUUGUCUUCAGUCUUCGCAGCUGUCACUCGACUUUUCUAUCUGUAUUUUCUUUGAUAUAAAACCCUAAGAACAAAUUCAAAUGAUCAAUCUCAAUUUCUCAUCCCCCUUCUUUACUGCCUCUCUGCCUCUAAUCCAAUCCCAAAUUCCAAACCCUAAAUUUCCUCAAUUCCAACGAUACUCUUUCAGAAAUCGAUAGGCUAAACGAUGCCGUUUCAUAGUACCACAUGCUAGCUCUUCCGAGCUUCCGCUCCUCCCCGUUGAUAUAAACCAGGAGAGUUUUUGCAGCUGGUGGUUCUCCACCUUGGUCAUUGCUUCAAAAGCAUUCUUUGGAUAAGCACUUUUUUCCAAGUAAAUAUUUCCAAUCAAAGAAGAGACAAAACCAUGAAGAUGAGACCAAAUGUGCUGGUGAUGACCCACUAGUUGCAGCUGAACUUACAACAAACUCAGCAGCCACCAACCAGACUUUCAGAAUAUUUUACAACUACAGGUAAACAAAUGUGGGUCAAUACCCUAAAAGUACAAUAAAUAAAAAAACACAUCCUAGAUUUGGAGAAUC